ACAACAUAGUAGUAUCUGCACUGGUUGUAAGUUUUUACUGACAGCUGUUGCCUCUGUUCCCUGGAACCUCCUCAAGCCAAGGAUCAGACACAAGCCUGAGCUCUGAGCCCAUGGUCCUAGCUUGUCCUUGAAGUAUGAGGCUGGUGACUGGAGUAACUGUGUUUCUGAUCUUGGGGACUGUGAUUGAUGCUAAGACCACCCAGCCCAACUCUGUGGAUUGUGCUGAAGGAGAAAAUGUAAACCUGCCUUGUAACCACUCUACCAUUGGUAGAGAUGACUAUAUACACUGGUAUCGGCAAAAUCCCAAUCAGAGUCCACAGUAUGUCAUUCAUGGCUUUCAAGACACAGUGGACAGCAGCGUGGCCUCUCUGACCAUUGCUUCAGACAGAAAGUCCAGCACCUUGGUCCUGCCCCAGGUCACCCUGAGAGACGCCGCUGUGUACUACUGCGUCCUGAGAGAGGCACACUGGGACAGACAGGGCUGCACCUGUGCAGUAUCUCUGGUGGGAAGAAGGGGGGAACUCAGUGGGGGAGCAGUCACGAGAGCAAAUCUAGAGUCUAAGGAGAGUCAGAGAGCAGUAAGAGAUGAGGAAAAUGAAGGGAAGGAAAAGGGGAGAGAUGCAUAAAGGAAAUAAAAGGACAAGGAAGAAGUGCCGCAUUAGUUGAUGUAGCUGAAAAGAAUUAUGGGGCUACUAAGAAUCCUAGAAAUAAAGUGAGAAGCAUUAGCAAUUUUUCAUGGUUCUUUCUCGUGUCAGUAAAAUGUUGGUUCCAGUGUGUUAGUCUCAACCUAAAAGUGAGAAAAAUACAAAUAGUUCUCCUUGUUCCAAAGGUGUCUUUCAUGUGGACUCAGGGCAAGUCCAGACUCUGAAAUUUUAUAGUUGUUCCUCUUAGCAUAAAUAAAUUACUUUUUUAAGAAAAAUCCCAAAUGUUUUUUGUGGCUAGUCUCAAACAUGCAUAUUUGUCAGGAAGAAGCUGUUUUAGAAAGAAACAAAAAUUAAGUGAAUAUUAAUUUAGUUUUAAUUUGUCUGGAAGUUUUACCUCUACAUGGAGUUUUCAUGGUUUUUUAUAUUCUCUAAACAACACACAGAACCAUCUCAUCAUAAAAGACUCAGGCAGAACAAAAGUAAAAGCCCACAGCUGUAUCAUCUUCAUUCCAGCCUAGUUUCCACCUUCCUCCGAGAAAACCAAAUCUGAUAAUUAAAGCUAGCAUGCCAGUCUGUUUUUUUCAAUUAUCUAUAUAUUUGCAUAUAAUUUUAUGCAAUUACAUACACAUUUACACUUACAUGCAUAUGCGUAUGGACACAAUUUGACAGGCAAGUUGGAUUUAUUUGAAUUUUUUCCAACUUCCCUUUUGACUUUCAGUUAAUAAAGUGUGCUGGAAAUCAUCCUACAGUAAAAAAUCAGUUUGUGCAUGCUCAGUGGUGUCCAACUCUUUGCAGCCCCAUGGAUUGUAGCCUGCCAGGUUCCUCUAUCCAAGGGAUUUUUCAGGCAAGAAUACUGGAGUGGGUUGCCAUU